CCUACAGGAGGACAAAGCAGAGGAAUUUCUGAUUCAUGUAUUUUUCCGUGGGAUGCCGGAAAGGGAGUUUUGAGAGCUCCUAUAACAGCUUAGCUUGGGGGCCCCUACUUAGCAACCACCCAGGUCCCGGAAGAGGGCAGCUCGGCCUGGCGCCCGCAGCCCCGAUCCCCUGCCCGGAGUCCCAGGGCGCGGGCGCAGCCACCAAAGCUGAAAUGUGACCGCGUCCGGGUGCGUUCCUGCUCUGGGGCGCGGAGCUGCCAAGAAAGGGGCUGUGGCCUCCAGGAGGGGCCAGGAGGCAAAAUGGAAGGAAGCUCUAGAUCUCCGCGGCGGAAAUCAUUCUUACUUAUGCCCUGCCAAAGAGUAGAGGGCAGCAACUGACCUGUGCUAAAGGAGGGCACGUGUGGGUCUGCCAACGUCCUGCAGGUGGGGUGAGACCCUCGCUCAGCUCGGCUAUCCCUUCGCUCUCCACCCUCGGCCAGCCCCUCCUGUCCUCCAUCAGGCCUCGCUUGAGGAUACCUCCCACGGUCAAAAGCGCGAGUUGGACCUGAGUUUGACAUUCAUUCCGUCUCAGGGUACAAAAGCCAAGCCUGCGGGGAAGGGGAGAAAAUUUCCUACAGGGGCCUCAAAACUGCAUUUCAGGAAGCCCUAGGACCCACUGAUCCUGCAGCUGCACCUCUCACUCGCCCCAGGUCCUGAGGUGAAACAAUGGAAUCUAGCAGAAGUUGCCUUUCCGGAUUCAAAUGGCUUCUAUGGUGGAUUCCCACAAAAGAAAUUAGUAGAAGAAAGAAUUUUGCUAAAUUUCUUUUCAGAAAGACUUUACUCAUUUAUUAGCAAUAAAUAGUAUCUGUUGUGAGUUAAAUUGUGUCUCCAAAAAGAUAUGCUUGGGUAAUAGCCACUGGGAUCUUUGAAUGUAAUCUUAUUUGGAAAUAGGGUCUUCACUAAUGUUAUCAAAUUAAGAUGAAGUCAUAUCGAAUUAGGUACAACUGUCCUUAUAAGAAGAGAAGAGACACAGACACAGAGGAAAGACUG